AUUGAACGCUGGCGGCAGGCUUAACACAUGCAAGUCGAGCGGGGUGAUGGUGCUUGCACUAUCACUUAGCGGCGGACGGGUGAGUAAUGCUUAGGAAUCUGCCUAUUAGUGGGGGACAACAUCUCGAAAGGGAUGCUAAUACCGCAUACGUCCUACGGGAGAAAGCAGGGGAUCACUUGUGACCUUGCGCUAAUAGAUGAGCCUAAGUCGGAUUAGCUAGUUGGUGGGGUAAAGGCCUACCAAGGCGACGAUCUGUAGCGUGUCUGAGAGGAUGAUCCGCCAAAAGGGGACUGAGACACGGCCCAGACUCCUACGGGAGGCAGCAGUGGGGAAUAUUGGACAGUGGGGGGAACCCUGAUCCAGCCAUGCCGCGUGUGUGAAGAAGGCCUUAUGGUUGUAAAGCACUUUAAGCGAGGAGGAGGCUCUUUUGGUUAAUACCCAAGAUGAGUGGACGUUACUCGCAGAAUAAGCACCGGCUAACUCUGUGCCAGCCGCCGCCGUAA
rnacentral:rRNA from 1 species